GACGAACGCUGGCGGCGUGCCUAAUACAUGCAAGUCGAGCGAAUUUAUGAGAGCUUGCUCUCGUAAAUUAGCGGCGGACGGGUGAGUAACACGUGGGCAACCUGCCUAUAAGACUGGGAUAACUUCGGGAAACAGGAGCUAAUACCGGAUAAUUCACAUCCACUCAUGUAGAUGUGCUGAAAGACGGUUUCGGCUGUCACUUAUAGAUGGGCCCGCGGGGCAGUAGCUAGUUGGGGAGGUAACGGCUCACCAAGGCAACGAUGCGUAGCCGACCUGAGAGGGUGAUCGGCCACACUGGGACUGAGACACGGCCCAGACUCCUACGGGAGGCAGCAGUAGGGAAUCUUCCGCAAUGGACGAAAGUCUGACGGAGCAACGCCGCGUGAGUGAUGAAGGUUUUCGGAUCGUAAAACUCUGUUGUUAGGGAAGAAUAAGUACUAGAGUAACUGCUAGUACCUUGACGGUACCUAACCAGAAAGCCACGGCUAACUACGUGCCAGCAGCCGCCGUAA
rnacentral:rRNA from 1 species